AACGUAGGAGGCAAGCGUUAUCCGGCUUGACUGGGCGUAAAGAGCGUGUCGGCGGUUGAGUAAGUUGCGGGUGAAAGCGCCCGGCUAAACUGGGCGAGGACCGGCGAGACUGCUGAGCUAGAGGCCGAUAGAGGGGGGCGGAAUUCCGGGUGUGGCGGUGAAAUGUGUAGAGAUCCGGAAGAACACCAGUGGUGCAGACGGCGCCCGGGAUCGGGCCUGACGCUGAGACGCGAAAGCGUGGGGAGCGAACGGG
rnacentral:rRNA from 1 species